GGUAGAAGAAGUGAUUGCAAGUGGUCGACAAACAUCCAAGAAUGUGAGAACUGGCUUGAACAGCAGCAGAGAGCAAACAAGCAGAAGAAGCAAGCAAAUCGAGAAACUAGAAGUAGAUCCUAGCAAGCAUUCGUUCCCUGAUGUGACUAACAUAGUCCGAGAGAAAAACCACGCACCCAGAAGGUUGGGAUAUGAACCCAAAAUUAUACCAAGUGAGGAAGAUCCAGACUUUGAAGAUAACCCUGAAGUGCCUCCACUGAUUUGAAACAUCAGACUGUGUUGUCAUUGACUGUGACCCACCAAAUCCAGUUUUGCUUGGUGCAGAGAGUAUAUGCAUUAUCAUUUCCAGGGUAAAAAUGGAGUUACUAUUACUCCAAUGUUUUAACUCCUACUUUGUACAGUAAUAUUCUUAAACUAGUUUAAGUUAAAAUGUGCUCCUUAAAUAUGCUAUAACUCAUCAUUUGUCUUUAAUAAAGGGUUGGCUAGUGAAAAUGGUCAGUGAAAUCAUAGAACUAUUACAUAAAACAUUGAUUAUACAUCAUA